rnacentral:lncRNA from 1 species
GGCCUGGGACGACUGGACCCAAGUGCAGCAUCGUUCGUCCGGAGACAGGCGAAGGGUCGGUCGAUCGGCGGUCAGGGUCAGAGCGAAGAUCCAUGGCCGAGGCCAGGGGUCUUAGCGAAGGGUUGGUCGAACGGUGGUCAGGGUCAGAGCGAAGAUCCGUGGCCGAGGUCAGGGGUCUUAGCGAAGGGUCGGUCGAACGGCGAGCAGGACAGGAACGAGAUCCGUAGACGUGGUCGGGAAACGAAGCGAAGAGUCGGAAAGCGGAGGACGUGAACGAAGAGUCACAAGAAAGGGCGGUCGUCCCUGACGAGAUUCCGCAAAGGUCUGGGAGUUGCGGAGUGUCUUAAAGGGUGGGUGCUGAACUGGAGUCGGGUGCUGUCGAUUGAGUUGUGGGUGUGGACGUGACAAUACUGUAAAUAUACAGUAUAUGCAUAUUUUGUUUUUUACCCCAAAGUUUAUGUCUUUUAUGUAUGUAAGCACAGUUGAAAACACAUUGACUUAGUGCAGGGAAAUGUGUGAAAUGCGGACCGAUGCCGGGACCGUCAACCUGAAGGGGGCACUGCUUGUUCACACUAUUUCCUUGCAGAAACACCAGGAGUUGAUCUGGUCCCCUCCCUGAGCCCAGCGUUAGUCCCUUUGCACUUCAUCUCUGUGCCGUGUUGCGUGGUAACAUGUUUUCAUCGUCAUUUUCGUCAUUUUACGCUCGUCAAGGCUGAAGGCGCUGCGGUAGCGUCCACGGUUUAGGGGAAAGCGUCUCGUUCACCCAAACACACACUCUGAGUGUAAGAUGUGGAAGAACUUUGUGCGCUUUCUACACUUUUUUUUUUUCUUCCAGUGUCGUGUCCUCCUUUUUUAUUACGGGGCUUUAGAGCUGACGUGGCACCAAAGGCCAACCUGUGGCCCUUGGCCUUCAAAGCCUGGACUUACCGUGCGCCGGGCGGGGGAUGUGGAACUCCGCAGAAGCAGGACAUGGUCUCUAUGGCAACGGCAGCCAAAACAGCAGUCAACACAUCACGGCGAGCGGCCCUAAGAGGGUGUGUGCGUUCCACUGACGCACGGAUGAGUGACCCAUCGUAAGUAGCGGAUCUAGCAGUGUAAGUCACCGCGGCGAAAAGGUGUGUGGGCUCAUAGUAACACUACAUAGAGUUCAUUGGAAGUCGCGUAAAACGUAUCUUGCUGAGCAAUGCAAGUGAAACCACGGCCAUAUUUUCCGAAGAAUUCGGGAGGCGCAGGUGUGCCGGUUCGUCCGAGAGGGGGACCGAACACACAAGAAAGUCUUUGUGCCCCAGAAGACGCCUCUGGACGGCGCGCAGAGGUGCGGAGCCUGUGGAAAUACCUGAUUCACUUUUCCAGCGUCGGCGCCCAAGCGAGCGCAUGCAGGCGGCGCUCUGACCGAGAGUGUGUGUAGCACCUCACACGCCGCACAAUCCACGCAUUAUUCCAGGCUUUCGCUGGACGGGGCUGGAAAAAUCCUCCCGUCUGAAGCGUGCUUGCUUUGGCGCGCCGGCCUUCGCCAAAGUGCCUUUUCAUCAAAAACCCGGCAGCUCCGGCUCCCUCCGAAAACGGGAGAGCUCUUUCGCUCUCCGGCCGUCCCCUCCGAAGAGAACGUUGUCGCUCCGUUGGUUCCGUUAUCGUCUUUUAAUUCUUCACUUGGCCUUCGGCCUUGGUCCGGGGCGACUUCGAGAUGAACUCGAUCGGUAAAAAUACAUGCGAGCGCCUUCUGCGGCACCAAAGCGGCGGCGCGGAGGGAACUUUGGACGAAGAGCAGAGGUGCGGCUGGCGCGAGAGCGACUGUUAACAACUGUUGUUUCGGCCCUUGGAACGGCCUCCGCGACCAUGUGAAAACAGAGUAACGUGAAGAAUUUCGAACGAAAGGCUCCGCACAAGAGCGCAGGAACUUCGGAAGCCGUGCUGCCUCCGUGAACGUGCACGCGCAGCUCAGGAAUGCGUGAUGCGUUGCGUUCGGAGGUGUUUGCAAAAUGAUCAUCAAGGCCCUUUCACAGCGAGUCUUAAACCUACCGAUGUAUGAUUGCUGACAUCAGCACUUAAGGACGCUUAUGGUUUUCUUUUGAAGCUAUAAUGCAAAGCAUAUGAAGGCAUUACAAGUGUCUUCUGCUGAGCCCUUUACUCAAAGUGUUACAACAACAUUCGCUUUUAAAGGCAUCGAGGGAGCUAGAAGGAGACAGCUGUGUUAUUUCCCCACUUUUAUUGGCUCACUUUGAGUCGAACGCCUCCGCAGGCUGUUUGCGACAGAAAGGAGUCGCCGUUGCGGCUCUUUUUCUUAAUCCGUUUACCAGCCGUUUGCUCCGCGUAAAGACAAAAAAGUCGUGCAGGUUCACAUGGAAAGCACCAAAAUUAGUUUUAAAAUUAGAAAUCGAUUUUUAAAAACUGUUUAAUAAUUUGGUUUGUCUUUCAAGCCGCCUACAGCGUUGGGCUCUUAUGCGUUGAGCUAGACGUCACAUUGCUGAGGUCGUGCACUUUUGGCGUUAUUCUCCGAGAUGCCCUUCGAACGUGAAUGCGAACGCAGCCGGGUGCUUCUCUACUGGAGGGUCCCACGGCAGCUUUUUAUCCCAAUCCCUCUUAAUUCCAAACGUACUGAAUGGAAAAAAAUGAUCUCGAGUUGCGAGCACGGUUGUCCUGUUUUCCCAUGAAACGCCACGAAAUCCAUGAUCGGCUGUAAAUACAGAGUGCAACGGUCCAAAUCAUAGAAACAUCCAGAAGCCUCAGCGUAUGGUCUUCAGUUUGCUAUUUCAAAGAAGGCUGGAAAAUUAGAGGGUUAUGGGUGGAAGACUCCAGUGUCACCCAUCUCGCGUGUCACUUAUCUGGCUCAGCCGGCUUCAAAGCUCUUUAAUUCGGCGCUCCGAUGCCCACAUCCUCCGGUUCGGAAAAGAGAAACAGAAAAAUGUAAAUGAGCCGAAGGAGUUUGCUCCAAGUCCUUGUGGGCAGCUGAGCUGUAGGAGCUGCCGGUAACAGAAUGCGCACAGAAAACGACCGCCUACAUUGUCCCUUUGUCAUGUGUUUGUGGGCGAAGCCCAUGAAAUAGGCGCCCGGUCAUUUUUGUCAUUUUUGUCUCUCUCCUUUUUGUCCCACAAGAUGGGCCACGAUGGGGAAAGGCUGCUGGCGAACACGAACUAAUACUAGCCGUCCCGGGUCGAAGAGCGCAGCUCUGUCCGAAGAUGCUUAUGAAAGAGAGAAACGGCGAGUCGCACGGACCUGAUAGUUGAGAACACAAUUUUCUCUUUGGCAGAGUGCAAAGAAGAUCUUUUUAUAUAGCGGAGAGCGAAAAACAGGAGGAGAAGAGUUCUUUCAGCAUAUUGUGGUAAUUCAAAUGAACUUCCUUAUAUGUUCAAGAAACCAGGAAAAAAACAGUUGGAAUAAAUCAAAAAUCAGAAUAUUCA